UACGGGGGGGGCAAGCGUUGUUCGGAAUUACUGGGCGUAAAGGGCGCGUAGGCGGCUUGGCAAGUGGAUGGUGAAAUCCCUCGGCUUAACCGAGGAACUGCCGUCCAAAACUGCUUCGCUUGAGACCGGGGAGAGGUGAGUGGAAUUCCCAGUGUAGCGGUGAAAUGCGUAGAUAUUGGGGAGGAACACCAGUGGCGAAGGCGGCUCACUGGACCGGUACUGACGCUGAUGCGCGAAAGCGUGGGGAGCAAACGGGG
rnacentral:rRNA from 1 species